rnacentral:rRNA from 1 species
ACGAACGCUGGCGGCGUGCUUAACACAUGCAAGUCGAGCGGAAAGGCCCUUCGGGGUACUCGAGCGGCGAACGGGUGAGUAACACGUGAGUAAUCUGCCCCUGGCUUUGGGAUAGCCACCGGAAACGGUGAUUAAUACCGGAUAUGACCACUUGAUGCAUGUUGGGUGGUGGAAAGUUUUUCGGCCAGGGAUGUGCUCGCGGCCUAUCAGCUUGAUGGUGAGGUAAUGGCUCACCAUGGCUUCGACGGGUAGCCG